UUAAGGUUAAGUAAUAUUGAUCAUUAAACAGAACAAGUGUUGCCUGACGCAGUUCUUAAUAUCACCAGCAACGUCAACUUUCAAAGUUAAGGUUAAGUAAUAUUGAUCAUUAAACAGAACAAGUGUUGCCUGACGCAGCUCUUAAUAUCACCAGCAACGUCAACUUUCAAAGUUAAGGUUAAGUAAUAUGAUCAUUAAACAGAACAAGUGUUGCCUGACGCAGCUCUUAAUAUCACCAGCAACGUCAACUUUCAAAGUUAAGGUUAAGUAAUAUUGAUCAUUAAACAGAACAAGUGUUGCCUGACGCAGUUCUUAAUAUCACCAGCAACGUCAACUUUCAAAGUUAAGGUUAAGUAAUAUUGAUCAUUAAACAGAACAAGUGUUGCCUGACACAGCUCUUAAUAUCACCAGCAACGUCAACUUUCAAAGUUAAGGUUAAGUAAUAUUGAUCAUUAAACAGAACAAGUGUUGCCUGACGCAGCUCUUAAUAUCACCAGCAACGUCAACUUUCAAAGUUAAGGUUAAGUAAUAUUGAUCAUUAAACAGAACAAGUGUUGCCUGACGCAGCUCUUAAUAUCACCAGCAACGUCAACUUUCAAAGUUAAGGUUAAGUAAUAUUGAUCAUUAAACAGAACAAGUGUUGCCUGACGCAGUUCUUAAUAUCACCAGCAACGUCAACUUUCA